rnacentral:lncRNA from 1 species
CUGAAGGUCUCCCACUGUCGUUUUUUUAGGGUCUCGUUGCCAUGGUGGCUGGGCUCUCUUCCUUCCUCCGCGAGCUCUGUGAUUUCAUGUGUGUGGGUAUGCCCAUUCUGACAUUUUGAUUAUAUAUAUAUAUAUAUAUAUAUAUAUAUAUUGAAUUUUAAAUAAACCCAUAAUUUUACUAAGUUUACCCACCCAUCUUAACUAUCAUGAUGAUGAAGAAAAAACAAAAAAUAAAAUAAAAUAAAAUAAAAAAUUCGAUAUUCAUUAUUCCAUUGUUGGAUCAAAACUAAUGAAAUCUAACCACCUUCAUUACGAUUACCAUAUUCUUCAUCAUAAGCAGGUCGAUUCAGUAAAAACCUGGGUCUAUAUAACAUUCUCAUGUAUAUAUAUAUAUAUAUAAAUAUACAUAUAUAAAUUUGUUGUUGGAGUAUUUUGUGACAAUGGUGUGGUUCUUCAGAUUGGCAUUAUCUAUGAUGUUGAUUGCAAUAUUAUUGUUGUGUUGUUGUCAUUUUUAUGGUGAAUAGUUCAAGGUCCAUUUUGGACAGAUUGUUGUAAACAAAAUUCAUGGAGUUUGUCCUACUGCGGAUUGCAAUCAUUGAAUGUAAACCAUGAUUGUGAUUCAAGAGGUUUGAAGGUAUAUGUUUGUUGAUUAUCAUUUUGGGGAAAUGUUGAGGUUUUGUACCAGGUGUAUUUACAAAAGAAGAAGAAGCUGUGAGUGUAAUUCUUGUGUAGGAUGUUUUUAUGAUAGUGUUUUUUUAGCAAUUAAAACCAAUUUAGAGUAAAAAGAAUGAGGAUGUAGAAAAAUCAUUGUUAAACUUUGCAUAUGAAUAUUUACCAUGAAACUUGCAAUAGCAUCAUCUGAUGACUUCUGUAA